rnacentral:rRNA from 1 species
AAUAGAUACCCAGGUAGUCCACGCCCUAAACUAUGUCAACUAGUUGUCGGGGAAGAAAUUCCUUGGUAACGCAGCUAACGCGUGAAGUUGACCGCCUGGGGAGUACGGCCGCAAGGUUAAAACUCAAAGGAAUUGACGGGGACCCGCACAAGCGGUGGAUUAUGUGGAUUAAUUCGAUGCAACGCGAAAAACCUUACCUACCCUUGACAUGUACGGAAUUCCGCAGAGAUGUGGAAGUGCCCGAAAGGGAACCGUAACACAGGUGCUGCAUGGCUGUCGUCAGCUCGUGUCGUGAGAUGUUGGGUUAAGUCCCACAACGAGCGCAACCCUUGCCAUUAGUUGCUACAUUCAGUUGGGCACUCUAAUGGGACCGCCGGUGACAAACCGGAGGAAGGUGGGGAUGACGUCAAGUCCUCAUGGCCCUUAUGGGUAGGGCUUCACACGUAAUACAAUGGUCGGUACAGAGGGCUGCCAACCCGCAAGGGGGAGCUAAUCCCAGAAAGCCGAUCGUAGUCCGGAUUGUAGUCUGCAACUCAACUGCAUGAAGCCGGU